rnacentral:misc_RNA from 1 species
GGAGCCGAAAAGGGAAAACGAAAGGUGUGUAGCUUACUCAUUGGAAAAACAGUAGCACAAUGAUGCGCCACACGGUGGUGCGGCACCACCGCACGGGCAAGGCGCGUGCCUUCAUCAUGCGCGACCCGUCGCUGAAGAUUCUGAGGGCCGGCAGCGGCUUUCAGCAGCUGAAGCGCAUGGGCAUGCCGUCCCAGAAGACCCUCGGUUACCGCCAAGUGGAUAACUUUUACGCCAACAACCAGUACCAGCACGCGUGGCCGCUGCUCACCCACGACGAUCUCGGUAACAGCGACCAGUCGAACCAGACCAAGAAUAUUCUCUACUCCAUGUAUAUGCCGAAGCGUAACAAGGGUACGGCACCGUGGUUUCGCGGUGCGGACACGUACUCGGUCAAAUACUGCGAGCAAGGCCGCUACGAGUACCAGCGCUACCUCAUGAUCAAUCGCUUCCCUAGCGAGUACAAGAAGCACUUCCUGCGCUUCCUAGGCAACAUCCGCGGCUCCAAGUCGAAAGACGCCGUUCCGCAAGAGGCGCUGCACUGGCUGCUGCGCAUGAUCGUCGACAACUUCAACCCGCAGCACGUGCAUUACAUUGCCGCCAUGCGGACGCUUCAGGAUUCGGGCGAGCUGGACAUGGCUCGCGACGUGUGGAAAAUCAUGGAGCGCCAGCAGACAUGGCCCGACACUGCCACAAUCUGCGCCUACCUGGACGUCUGCGUCGAGGCGGGCGAGAAGACGUGGGCCGUGGAGGCGUGGAAUCGCUACUGCACGGAGCUGCGCUUCUUGCAGGCGGGCGAGGUCGAUCCGAAGCCUAUCACCCGCACCCCGUUCUCCCUUACUCGCGAGGAGCUGCUGUACCUGCCCAAGUGGAAGAAGCAUUUUGACCACGAUCCGAACCUGGAUGUCCCGGACCUGAACCGCUUCAACCGCACGCGCGAGGUGUACCUGCGCAUGGCCAAGGUGAUGCUGGCCAGCGACGACAUGAGCAUGUUCGAGCACUUCUUUGGCAAGCUCGAGGCAGCCAUGCUGACCACGCCGACGCCGGUGCCGGAGCCGCCCAACCCGCAUCUGGUGCGCCGUCCGCGCUGGUCCCCUUAUGAGCACCAGAAGUCUCUCCACCACUCGCCCUGGCGCAUGGACAACAACGGCCGCGCCAUGGCUCUCGGCCCGUCGCGGACGAUGGAGGGUGAGAUGCAGAGCCGCUUCUUCAGCAACCCGCAGUUCUUGGUUCACGCAGUAAAGGAGGCCGUGGCGGUGGUGCUGCAGCGGCACAUGGCCAUGUUUCCAGAGGCAACGGACGCCCAGACGGCUGCACCAGCCUUCUUCGAGCAGACGGAGACGGCGCAGGAGACGCUGGCAUUCUGCGACGGCCUGGUGCAGCGGAUGAUGGAGCGCCUCGAAAGCAAGCUCGGCAGCCUUGGCACGUCCCCUCUGCUGUCCACGCUGCUGUGCGUCCGGCGUGUCGUCGGCAAACAGUCUGGCCGCGCGCUGCUGGAGUACGCUAAUCAAUUCCUGACCAAAAAGGCGACGCUCAACGCAGACGGUCUGCGCGAGUCGCUGACGGCGCCGAACUACUUCCAGAUCCUCGCAGCCUACGCGGACGAGAGCGCCUACCACUACAACCCCAAGACGCGGCAGUACACGUACGCGCCGGGCUUCCGACCAACCGAGACGAUGAAGGGACUGAGUGCCACGCUAAAAGAAAUUUCGGCGAACCAGCACGUGGCGUGGUCGGCGGAGAUGCACCUGCAGGUGGUGCGCACACUGGUUGGCUGCGGCACAAUGAAGGCGAACACGUACUUUGUCGAGAACGUGCUGCGGCAGUUCAAGUGGGACAGCCGCUUCCUCGAGGCGCUCUACGCGGAGUACCGCCGCCGCGACAGCGUCGACCUUUGGGCGGAGCUGACGAAGAGAGCCCUCGUAUGGACGGCACGGUACAACGUCAUCGCAUCGGAGCGGCUGAAGCGGUUGAUCGAGGAUGACUACGACAUCAUUCACGUGCAGACGCGCACCUUCCGCGAGCUCGCCGUCUUCCAGUUCCGCGACGUGGAGGAAAAGCGACACGCCCGCGAUGUCGUGAACGAGUUGCCAAACCCGUGGAUCGACUAUGUCACUCACGCGUUGCCCUUCCCCGACCGCGAUGCUGGAUACCCGGAUGAAUACGGCGACAUUGGCCAGUGGCGUGCGCCAGGCGGCCCGGGGUCACCGGUGAAGGGACCGGGCUACUACGCACCGCCGAUGGAGGGCGAGCACAUGCGCGGCUACACGGCCGAGUGGCGUGACUUGAAGAACCCGAUGAAGCCGCCCGCCUUCCCGGAGCCGUGGGAGCGCAAGUACAAGCAGUACGCCCGCGGCCAGCAUCCCUCGUACGACAUGGUGUACGCAGGUCCGAUGCCGGAGAUCUUCCCUGGUCGGCGCGACUUCCGAAAGCCGACUCGCUGGGACUACCACGAUGUGGAGAAGCAGGGGAAGCACAAGAUCAGCGGGCCCUACUGAGAAGCCGCAGAGGAAAGAGCCUGCACACCCUGCGCAACGUUGGAGGGAGGGCACACGGCGGUGGUGGUGGGCAGUGCGUGUCUCUACAUCUUCCCCUUCCAUAUCUUUGCUGUGGCACGGUCGGUCGGCUGUUUUUUUUUUCUUGUUUGUUUGCGCGGUCCUCCCUUGCUGUGCAUCCUCCGCGAUACCGGCACUCCUUGAAGAUGGCUGGGCAAUCACGCGAGUUACUUCGGUCUCCCCCGCCACCCUCACACACACGCACACAUCGCAAACGGCAAGUCGUGAUCUUGUGAGGAAAGACUUUGUGCGCCUCUCUGUGCAUGUUUGGAAUGGCUAGUGAUGCUGACGAGGCGAGGGAGUAGCCAUCCUAUCCAUGAUACGGGUGAUGCGUAUGCUCACGCGAACGGGUCGCGGGGGCGUGCGUGGGCCCGUGCUCUCUCUCUCUCGUUGAUGUCUUAGCUCUGUGCGUCUUUGAGAAAGGUGAACUGCAAAAGAAAAAGCGAGGAAAAGGAUGCGUGUUUGUGUUUGUGUGUGUGUGUGGUGCCCCCUCCCCUUCCGGUGCCUGCCGGCACCUGUUGCUCGUUGAUGGCCUUGCUGGAUCGCUGCGUGUGCAUGCUGCCCUCACCCCCCCCCUCUCGCACAAUAUUAACUUCGCCUGUGAUGCGCACCCUGCCUGCGCAGCUUUUGCGGGCUCUUAUCCCUUUCGUUGUGCGCCAUCUCACCUCGUCCGAGGCAUCCUCACGUCCGGCAUGAGAGCCGUGCGUGGUGGUGCGGCGACGAGGCGGGGAGAGACCGGGGAAAGAGUCGGUUGUGGUGUGUUGUGGUGAGGUAAUCGUGAGUGCGACGCGCACUUUCUGCACACAGUCACGCUCUUAAGUAAAGCAGAG